rnacentral:tRNA from 1 species
CGUUCUAUGGCCGAACUGGUCAAGGCAUCGCCGAUUACACGUAAAGAUGUGGGUUCGAGUCCCACUGGAAUGG